rnacentral:rRNA from 1 species
CAAUAGCGUAUAUUUAAGUUGUUGCAGUUAAAAAGCUCGUAGUUGGAUUUCGGGUGGGACGCAGCGGUCUCGCAUUGCGUUUGUACUGCUGCAGCCCUCCUUCUUGCCGGGGGCGGCCUCUCGGACUUCACUGUCUGGGGGUCAGAAUCGGCGAUGUUACUUUGAGUAAAUUAGAGUGUUCAAAGCAAGCUUACGCUCUGAAUAUAAUAGCAUGGGAUAACACGACAGGACUCUGGCCUAUCGUGUUGGUCUAUAGGACCAGAGUAAUGAUUAAGAGGGACAGUCUGGGGCAUUCGUAUUCCGUUGUCAGAGGUGAAAUUCUUGGAUUUACGGAAGACGAACAUCUGCGAAAGCAUUUGCCAAGGAUGUUUNCAUUGA